rfam:Caldalkalibacillus thermarum TA2.A1 ctg236, whole genome shotgun sequence.
CCAACCUUUAAUUCAGUCCAGAGAGGCUGGAAAGGUGGCAGGGGACAGCAUCAUUAUACUGUCCAAAGUGUAGCAUCAUAUCCAUGGUUUAAAAAAUCCCCCCUAAUCUGUGUAUGAUUUUGUGUACAAAACAUGGCCGGAUAUGAUGUCAACAAAACCGAGAUAUGCCUUUCCAAGUCUCUUGUGACAAACAAGAGACUUUUUUAAU